UUCCUACUCACCAGCUACGAUCUUGGGGCACUUCCUCACAGGACUUGCUGAACCCCCAUCUCCAUAGCAGAGGAUGUGAGCAUCAAUGUCUGUGAAGUACCUGGCACAGUAACUCCGUAUGUCCUGGGCCUAAAGUGCCUCCUCACUAGACAAAGGUGGCGCCUGGAAGCGACCGGAGCCAGAAGGUGGGCCCCGCGCGCCGCCGUAGUCAUGGAAACGCGCACGCUCCCAGCGCCGAACUGCAACUCCCAGCGGCCUCCGCAGCUUCCGGUUGGCAAGAUGGUGGCGCGCAGGAGGAAGCGUGGGGCGCGGGACUCAGAGCAGGGGGUUCCGAGCCCUCCCGGUUACUCCGCCAUCCCGAUCAAGUUCUCAGAAAAGCAGCAGGCUUUUCACUACCUCUAUGUGAGAGAGCACAGAGUUCGAGAAGGCACCAAGUCUUCCUGGCCUCAGAAGCGGACCCUCUUUGUUCUCAAUGUGCCCCCAUACUGCACAGAGGAGUGCCUGUCCCGCCUCUUCUCCCCCUGCGGCCCCAUCCAGUCUGUGGGGUUACAGGAGAAGCCAGAACUCGCUGACAGCCCAAAGGAGCCAAAGUCAAAGUUUUUUCACCCCACGCCCAUUCCGGGCUUCCAGGUAGCCUAUGUGGUGUUCCAGAAGCCAGGUGGGGUGUCUGCUGCCUUAGUCCUGAAGGGCCCUUUGCUGGUCUCAACGGAGAGUCACCCUGUGAAGAGUGGCAUUCACAAGUGGAUCAGCGACUACACAGACUCAGUGCCAGAUCCUGAGGCCUUGAGGGUCGAAGUGGACACGUUCAUGGAGGCAUAUGACAAGAGGAUAGCCGAGGAGGAGGCUAAGGCCAAGGAGGAGGAAGGGGUUCCGGACGAGGAGGGCUGGGUGAAGGUGACCCGUCGGGGCCGGCGGCCCGUGCUGCCGCGGACAGAGGCUGCUAGCCUGCGGGUGCUGGAGAGGGAGAGACGGAAGCGCGCCCGCAAGGAGCUGCUCAACUUUUACGCCUGGCAGCACCGAGAGACCAAGAUGGAGCAUCUAGCCCAGCUGCGCAAGAAGUUUGAGGAAGACAAGCAGCGGAUUGAACUGAUGCGGGCGCAGCGCAAGUUCCGACCCUACUGAGCCGAGCUGGUCCUGGGGACCCCUGGAAGGGGGCGGUGAACGGUGGCGGUCCACUGCCGAUGUGGAAUUGCAUGAGGCUCGCUUUCUACCGGACGGUGCUGCUCAAGCCCCAGAACUCCAGGUGUGACAGACGAGGAGCUCGAGAAAUGUGUGCAGAGUGGAUCAAUUCCACAAAGCUCCCAUGAGGACUGUUAAGUCAUGCCCAACACUCCUCCACCACUGCGAUAAAUAUACAAUUCUUACGAAAACACGUGUACACACACACACAUGUACACAUUCGGUCACAGGGUCACAGCCACGAGAGCAUAUUGCCCUUGAUCUACCCUGACCUCCUCCAGGCCAUUUCCUGCUCCUUGAGCGAAAACGACCUUGGGUGCUUUUCCAGAAACAGACGUUUCCAGAUCAUCCACAAGGCCCAAUGAACGAAGAUCUACCGAGGACCCACACAGGCUGCACGUGAGCUCCUGCUGGCAGAGCGCCCGGCUGCAGGAAAAGCAGGGAGGUGGUUCAUGCCCGCGGAGGGGCUCCCCGACCAGUGCUCAUCGGCGGCACAUUGAAACAGGGCUUUACUGAGGAUCACAGAGGCUCAAGUCACACAACGGGGAACAGGAGAUGGCACCAGGACUCGGCUCAGGCGUCUGCCCCCACCCCCAGCCUGAGCUGCUCGGGCCAGGACUGGGGCUCUCCGGCUUGGGGGCCCGGUCAGGCCCUCACCUCAAUUAUAUGUUGAUCCCCAAGGCAGAGACUGAGGGAUGUUACCUCCGCUCAUGUCUCUGGAUGUGAAAACCACAAGUCUGGGGUUUUGCAGUGGUUUCCUCUAGGGCCACACAAUCCGAGGACAUUUCUCCAAGAACGCCUUUAAGACCAAAGGCUGCUGGGUAUGCCCUGUCUCUUUCUUCUUCUUCUUCUUUUUCUUAAGACUUUACUUAUUUGUCAGAGAGAGAGAGAGAGAGAGUGGCAGGCAGAGGGAGAAGCAGACUCCCUGCUGAGCAAGGAGCCUGAUGCAGGACUCGAUCCCAGGACGCUGGGAUCAUGACCUGAGCUGAAGGCAGACGCUUAACGACUGAGCCACCCAGGCGCCCCUCUUCUCUCUUUUUUCUUUGCUUCUAUCCCCCUCUCCUCUAACCUUCUUUCCCUAGUCCACUUGUAUUCCCUGAUCUAUAUUUUUCUUUUAUACUUCCAGUGUGACUUAUGGCAAAGUCCCCAGAUCUAUGUGUCAGCUGACAAUGGCCUUUCACAUAUAAAUGCUCCGUGCGACCCAGCUCGAAGUGACCACCACCAGCACCUGCAGGCUCCCUCCUGGGGUAUUCUCUGAGGAUACCACUAUUCAGACCACUAGCCCCGUAGAUCAAUUUCCCUCUUUUUGAACUUCAGGUACAUGGAAUCAAACAGAGUGCUCUCUGUUUCUGGUUUCUUUUGGUCUGUAAGUUACGUUUGUUUUUUCAUCCCUGUGUGGUGCUCCAGUGUAUGAAUAUAGAACAAUGUGUGCAUUCUAUUGUUGAAAAACAUGUGGGUGAGUUCCAGUUUGGGACUAUUAUGAACCAAGCUGCUAGGAACGUCCUUGCACACGUCUUUUGUGCACACGGCACACAUUUUUGCUAGGUAUACACCUAUGAGUGGAAUUAUGGGCUCACAGGAUUUGACUAUGUUUUGCUUUAGCAGUUCCUGCCAAGCAAUUUCCCAAAAUGGUUGUAUCAAUUUAUACUUCCUCCUACAGUGUAGAAGAGUUCUGGUCUUCGUCCCCAUUUAGACUUGGUGUUGUCAGGCUUUUCCAUUUUGACAGCAACUUCUCCACCUCUGGUGGAGGUGUAGAGGUAUAUUUCAUUGAUUGCCCUAAUUACUAAUGAUCAUGAGCAACUUUCAGGUGUUGAUUGGUCAUUUGGAUAGCCUCUUUCAUGAAGGGCCUGUUAAAAUCUUUUGCCUGCUUUUAAAAAUGAGGUUGUUAGAUUUUAUCUUACUGAUUUGUAGGAGCUCUUUAUAUAUCCUGGAUAUGAGUCCUUUAGCAGGCCUAUGCAUUUAAAUAUGUUCUUUUAGUCUGUGGCUUGACUCUUCACUCUCUUGUCUUUUGAUGAACAGAAAUUCUAAAUUUUAAUAAAGCCCUAUUUAUCAAUAUUUUCAUUGAUUCACAU